CCAGUCUUAUUUCAUGCAAUGUUUGCCUCACUCGUUCAGGUGGAGGAGGGACUCCGGGGCGAGUCCGGAAAGAGGUGACCAGUUUGAGCGUGUGGAAGCCAUUCAGUUGGGGGACUGUGGUCAGGAGACGGCACUUAUAAACAGACUGACCAGCGGUUCCAGAGUCUUCCUGUCCAGAGAGGAGAGCCAGCACUUCAUCAAAGAGCACAUGAUACAUUAUGAGACCUGUGCAUGAUUUUGGCAUCAUUGUAGCCAAAUACUGAUAUGUUCCACCCUCAACUGUGAGGUGGUCGUUGAACUUUUGUCUCGCAAACUCCAGGACCACACACAAAUCAUCCAGAUGCUCUUAAGGCAGUUUGAGGCCGUGGUUUGUUGUGUCACAAAUUCCAAAUGUGACUGUUCCGGUUGUCCAACCUCUGCCAGCUCUCCGCUUUCAGAUCAGCCCUCUGAAUCUAUAACCGUCCCCUUUGUUCCGGGACAGUUAGGAGACAAUGCAACCUUUGUUAUCCCAUCAGAGGAGACCCUUUCUACACAACACCUACAGGGUAACAGCACUACACCUGGGUCUCAUAUGAAAAGAGAAAAAGAAAAGGGGAAGUACAGGAACACGG
ensembl:lncRNA